GGCGUAGAAUGCAAAGCGACGCGCAAGCGGUUUUUCAAGCCGCCGUUAGUGGGUUCGAGUCCCGCCUACGCCGCCA
rnacentral:tRNA from 1 species